rnacentral:rRNA from 1 species
UUGGGAGCUCACUGGCUCGGAGUCAUGGGAACUCCGAAGUUAAGCGAGUUUGGGCUAGAGCAAUCCCAGAAUGAGUGACCUACUGAGAAGUUGCUCGUGAGUUCCCAGA